UGGGGGAUAUUGCACAAUGGGCGAAAGCCUGAUGCAGCGACGCCGCGUGGGGGAUGAAGGCUUUCGGGUUGUAAACCUCUUUCGCUAUCGAACAAGGCCCGCUUAGGGUGGGUUGAGGGUAGGUGGAGAAGAAGCGCCGGCUAACUACGUGCCAGCAGCCGCGGUAAUACGUAGGGCUCGAGCGUUGUCCGGAAUUAUUGGGCGUAAAGGGCUUGUAGGCGGCUUGUUGCGCCUGCUGUGAAAACGCGGGGCUUAACUUCGCGCGUGCAGUGGGUACGGGCAGGCUUGAGUGUGGUAGGGGUGACUGGAAUUCCAGGUGUAGCGGUGGAAUGCGCAGAUAUCUGGAGGAACACCGAUGGCGAAGGCAGGUCACUGGGCCAUUACUGACGCUGAGGAGCGAAAGCAUGGGUAGCGAACAGG
rnacentral:rRNA from 1 species